UUCCUGUGAGGGACAGUUCUUCAUUCUUUGGAAGUGGAGAUUGGAGACAAUUCUUCAUUCUUUGGAGUGAAGGCUGGACCCGAGACCCUGUUCUUGAAGCUAGAGAAGAGACUACAACAUUUGUGGAACAGUUGAGCAAAGACUUGUGGACAUGAAUACUAAGAUCUCAAUGACUCAAAACGUGGUUUUAUGAUUAUUCGCUUGCAAAAAUGAACGACAUGGAAAUGGAUUGUGUGAUAAUACAGUACAACCCAAACUGAAUUGCUUGCCAACUUCUGGAAGGAGACUUUGAAGGGAAAGAGACAAUUUGUAUUAUAUAACUUCAGAAAACUCAUGUGGAAAUUUGUUACUACAUGUAAUUGGUAAAAUAAAAUAAAGGCAAUCCAAACUGAAAAAAAUAAUCCCGAAGUCACAAAGAUAAA